GAUGAAGAACGUAGCGAAAUGCGAUAAGUAAUGUGAAUUGCAGAAUUCAGUGAAUCAUCGAAUCUUUGAACGCACAUUGCGCCGCAUAGUAUUCUGUGCGGCAUGCCUGUUCGAGCGUCAUUUGUACCUUCAAGCACUGCUUGGUGUUGGGUGAUUGUCUAUGUAACUUGCUAGACACGCCUUAAAUGAAUUGGCAGCUGGUAUUCUGGUUGAAGCGUAGCACAAUUACGUCUUUCUCUAGUGAGCCGCAUCCAUAAGUAUUUUUCACGUUUGACCUCGGAUCAGGUAGGGAUACCCGCUGAACUUAAGCAUAUCAAUAAGCGGAGGA
rnacentral:misc_RNA from 1 species